UACGGGGGGAGCAAGCGUUGUUCGGAUUUACUGGGCGUAAAGGGCGCGUAGGCGGUCGUGACAAGUCACUUGUGAAAUCUCCGGGCUUAACUCGGAACGGUCAAGUGAUACUGUCGGACUAGAGUACAGAAGGGGCAACUGGAAUUCUCGGUGUAGCGGUGAAAUGCGUAGAUAUCGAGAGGAACACCGCUGGCGGCGAAGGCGGGUUGCUGGGCUGAUACUGACGCUGAGGCGCGAAAGCCAGGGGAGCGAACGGG
rnacentral:rRNA from 1 species